AAGGCCCUUCGGGGUACACGAGCGGCGAACGGGUGAGUAACACGUGGGUGAUCUGCCUCGCACUCUGGGAUAAGCCUGGGAAACUGGGUCUAAUACCGGAUAUGACCUUACAUCGCAUGGUGUUUGGUGGAAAGAUUUAUCGGUGCGAGAUGGGCCCGCGGCCUAUCAGCUUGUUGGUGGGGUAAUGGCCUACCAAGGCGACGACGGGUAGCCGGCCUGAGAGGGCGACCGGCCACACUGGGACUGAGACACGGCCCAGACUCCUACGGGAGGCAGCAGUGGGGAAUAUUGCACAAUGGGCGAAAGCCUGAUGCAGCGACGCCGCGUGAGGGAUGACGGCCUUCGGGUUGUAAACCUCUUUCGACAGGGACGAAGCGCAAGUGACGGUACCUGUAGAAGAAGCACCGGCCAACUACGUGCCAGCAGCCGCGGUAAUACGUAGGGUGCGAGCGUUGUCCGGAAUUACUGGGCGUAAAGAGCUUGUAGGCGGCUUGUCGCGUCGAUCGUGAAAACUUGGGGCUCAACCCCAAGCUUGCGGUCGAUACGGGCAGGCUUGAGUACUUCAGGGGAGACUGGAAUUCCUGGUGUAGCGGUGAAAUGCGCAGAUAUCAGGAGGAACACCGGUGGCGAAGGCGGGUCUCUGGGAAGUAACUGACGCUGAGAAGCGAAAGCGUGGGUAGCGAACAGGAUUAGAUACCCUGGUAGUCCACGCCGUAAACGGUGGGUACUAGGUGUGGGUUUCCUUCCACGGGAUCCGUGCCGUAGCUAACGCAUUAAGUACCCCGCCUGGGGAGUACGGCCGCAAGGCUAAAACUCAAAGGAAUUGACGGGGGCCCGCACAAGCGGCGGAGCAUGUGGAUUAAUUCGAUGCAACGCGAAGAACCUUACCUGGGUUUGACAUACACCGGAAACCUGCAGAGAUGUAGGCCCCCUUGUGGUCGGUGUACAGGUGGUGCAUGGCUGUCGUCAGCUCGUGUCGUGAGAUGUUGGGUUAAGUCCCGCAACGAGCGCAACCCUUAUCUUAUGUUGCCAGCGCGUAAUGGCGGGGACUCGUGAGAGACUGCCGGGGUCAACUCGGAGGAAGGUGGGGACGACGUCAAGUCAUCAUGCCCCUUAUGUCCAGGGCUUCACACAUGCUACAAUGGCCGGUACAGAGGGCUGCGAUACCGUGAGGUGGAGCGAAUCCCUUAAAGCCGGUCUCAGUUCGGAUCGGGGUCUGCAACUCGACCCCGUGAAGUUGGAGUCGCUAGUAAUCGCAGAUCAGCAACGCUGCGGUGAAUACGUUCCCGGGCCUUGUACACACCGCCCGUCACGUCAUGAAAGUCGGUAACACCCGAAGCCGGUGGCCUAACCCCUUGUGGGA
rnacentral:rRNA from 1 species